rnacentral:tRNA from 1 species
GUUUUAGUAGUUUAAAGUAAAACAUUGAUUUUGUAAAUCAAAGAUAUAAAUUCUAAAACA